UUGGGGCGUAGAGCGCGCGCAGGCGGUUUCUUAAGUCUGAUGUGAAAGCCCCCGGCUCAACCGGGGAGGGUCAUUGGAUACUGGGGAACUUGAGUGCGGAAGAGGAGAGUGGAAUUCCUCGUGUAGCGGUGAAAUGCGUAGAGAUGUGGAGGAACACCAGUGGCGAAGGCGACUCUCUGGUCUGUCACUGACGCUGAGGCGCGAAAGCGUGGGGAGCGAACAGGAUUAGAUACCCUGGUAGUCCACGCCGUAAACGAUGAGUGCUGAAUGUUAGAUGGUUUCCGCCCUUUAGUGCUGCAGCUAACGCAUUAAGCUCUCCGCCUGGGGAGUACGGUCGCAAGACUGAAACUCAAAGGAAUUGACGGGGGCCCGCACAAGCGGUGGAGCAUGUGGUUUAAUUCGAAGCAACGCGAAGAACCUUACCAGGUCUUGACAUCCUCUGACGUCCCUAGAGAUAGGGCUUCCCCUUCGGGGGCACAGUGACAGGUGGUGCAUGGUUGUCGUCAGCUCGUGUCGUGAGAUGUUGGGUUAAGUCCCGCAACGAGCGCAACCCUUGAUCUUAGUUGCCAGCAUUCAGUUGUGCACUCUCAAGUGACUGCCGGU
rnacentral:rRNA from 1 species